GACGAACGCUGGCGGCGUGCUUAACACAUGCAAGUCGAACGGUAAGGCCCUUCGGGGUACACGAGUGGCGAACGGGUGAGUAACACGUGGGUGAUCUGCCCUGCACUUCGGGAUAAGCCUGGGAAACUGGGUCUAAUACCGGAUAGGACCACUGCCUGCAUGGGUGGUGGUGGAAAGCUUUUGCGGUGUGGGAUGGGCCCGCGGCCUAUCAGAUUGUUGGUGGGGUGAUGGCCUACCAAGGCGACGACGGGUAGCUGGCCGGAGAGGGUGACCGGCCACACUUGGACUGGGAUACGGCCCAGACUACUACGGGAGGCAGCAGUGGGGAAUAUUGAACAAUGGGCGCAAGUCUGAUGCAGCGACGCCGCGUGAGGGAUGACGGCCUUCGGGUUGUAAACCUCUUUCAGCACCGACGAAGGGCAAGUGACGGUAGGUGCAGAAGAAGGACCGGCCAACUACGUGCCAGCAGCCGCGGUAA
rnacentral:rRNA from 1 species